GUGUUAUAUGAAAUAAGAGAAGGUUAGCACCCUCCUUGACAAGGAUGGACAAGGCCCUCGGGCCUAACAAUACGUAUGCAGUUAAGGCAUUGCCGCCUACCUUGUAGCAUCUAAGCACUCUUUUUA
rnacentral:ncRNA from 1 species